UCUAAUAUGGCAGAUUAGUGCAAUGAAUUUAAGCUUCAUACAUAAAACCACGUUUUUUUUAGAA
rnacentral:tRNA from 1 species